rnacentral:rRNA from 1 species
CCUACGGGUGGCUGCAGUCGAGGAUCUUCGGCAAUGGGCGCAAGCCUGACCGAGCGACGCCGCGUGUGGGAUGAAGGCCUUCGGGUUGUAAACCACUGUCAGUGGGGAGGAAGGCCCUGUGAAGAGCAGGGUUUGACCUAUCCGCAGAGGAAGUGUGGGCUAAGUUCGUGCCAGCAGCCGCGGUAAGACGAACCACACAAACGUUAUUCGGAAUUACUGGGCUUAAAGGGUGCGUAGGCGGCGCGGUAAGUUGGGUGUGAAAUCCCUCGGCUCAACCGAGGAAUUGCGCUUGAUACUGCCGUGCUCGAGGGAGACAGAGGUGAGCGGAACUUAGGGUGGAGCGGUGAAAUGCGUUGAUAUCCUAAGGAACACCAGUGGCGAAAGCGGCUCACUGGGUCUCUUCUGACGCUGAGGCACGAAAGCUAGGGGAGCGAACGGGA